UACGUAGGUGACCAGCGUUGUCCGGAUUUACUGGGCGUAGAGAGCGCGCAGGCGGUCGUUCAAGUCGAGUGUGAAAGCCCCCGGCUCAACUGGGGAGGGUCACUCGAUACUGAUCGACUUGAAGGCAGGAGAGGGAAGCGGAAUUCCCGGUGUAGUGGUGAAAUGCGUAGAUAUCGGGAGGAGCACCAGUGGCGAAGGCGGCUUCCUGGCCUGUUCUUGACGCUGAGGCGCGAAAGCUAGGGGAGCAAACGGG
rnacentral:rRNA from 1 species